GUCAAUAUAGUUUAAAAAAAACAGUAAUUUUGUAAAUUAAUAUUAUACACU
rnacentral:tRNA from 1 species